GAGAGACACAGAGCACAUCAGUUACAAGGCUCCACCUGGACUCCUCACAACAGUUAUGAGGCUCCACCUGGACUCCUCACAACAGUUAUGAGGCUCCACCUGGCCUCCUUCCAAUGCUUCUUCUCAAGUUGAAUGGAAAUUAACGUCAAGCGUCUUCGAUACACACCUGAACAAAAAGGUGGAUGCCAUAGAUGGGGUACACAUAGAUGGUGCCUGGUUUCAUAAACAUGGCGGUGGUCCUCUGUGUGCGUUUCCCCCCGGCAGAGUGAGAGGCUUUGUCCACGCCCCCCAGGUGCACCUGAGGUGGGUGUAGGUCCUUGGUGAGAGGGAGAGGCUCCACAUCUGCUGGGAUCGGGUUCCAAGAGGCCCCUGGCUGGCCCCACCCCCUUGUCAGAGACACGCUUGACGAGAAACAUCUGUCCAACCUGCUCACGCAAUUAUUAAACUUCAAGUGCAUGUGGUUCUGAAGAUAGCAACUUGUUCUGAUUAAACUGGAUAUACAGGAGCUGGCAUGUGGGAUUUUGGUUAAGAGGCUGAGUGGGAAUUGAGAGGUUAAAACACAACACUGAGAACAUUGUAGCCCACCACACCUCAUUUUAGGUCAAAAAUAAAUAAAUCCUGCCUCCAUGUUGGUCAAAAAAUAAAAAACUGGCCUGUAGAGAUGCACUCACUCUCAAAUGCAUAGACAAAGAUGCAAGACCAGUCUUUAUUUCCACAUUGGUUUACAUUUAAAACGUUUGGAACAUUGGCCCAUAACAAACCUACCAAUUUUGCAGGUUUUCCUACUUACCUGCAAAAUCGGCAGUGUAUCAAAUGCUUGUUCUCCCCACUGUAUACUGUAUGUUGAGUUAAGACUUCAAUUUAACUAUUGAACCAAGCUUGUUAGGAUUUAAAUGAAUAUUGUUUUAUUUUAAAGUAAAACAAUUGUUUAUUAUUGCAAUUGUUUAU